rnacentral:misc_RNA from 1 species
UCUCCGUAGGUGAACCUGCGGAGGGAUCAUUAACGAGUUCACAUUAAACGGGUAGAAUUCGAACGCUACGAUAUCAUUACCUUUGUUGCUUUGGAGGGCCGUGGCGGCCUCGGGCAGGGUACCGGCGCGGGCGGGGAAGCGCCCGCCAGAGGACCCCAAACACAGAAUAUUAGGGUCGUCUGAGUACUAUAUAAUAGUUAAAACCUUCAACAGCGGAUCCCUUGGUUAUGGAAUCGAUGAAGAAAGAAGAAGAUCGGAAGAGCCAACGACUGAACACGA